AUGCAUGUCGAACGGUAACAGGUUAAGCUGACGAGUGGCGAACGGGUGAGUAAUAUAUCGGAACGUGCCCAGUAGUGGGGGAUAGCCCGGCGAAAGCCGGAUUAAUACCGCAUACGACUACGGGUGAAAGGGGGGGAUCGCAAGACCUCUCGCUAUUGGAGCGGCCGAUAUCAGAUUAGCUAGUUGGUGGGGUAGAAGCUCACCAAGGCGACGAUCUGUAGCUGGUCUGAGAGGACGACCAGCCACACUGGGACUGAGACACGGCCAGACUCCUACGGGAGGCAGCAGUGGGGAAUUUUGGACAAUGGACGCAAGUCUGAUCCAGCCAUGCCGGUGCGGGAAAGAAGGCCUUACGGGUUGUAAACCGGUUUGGUCAGGGAAGAAAAGCUCCGAACUAAUAUUAGGAGUAGAUGACGGUACCUGAAGAAUAAGCACAGGCUAAAUACGUGCAGAAGCCGGGUAAUACCGUAGGGUGCAAGCGUAAAUCGGAAUUAUGGGCGUAAAGCGUGAGCAGGAGGAUUCAUAUAAGACAGAAUGUG
rnacentral:rRNA from 1 species